CCUACGGGAGGCAGCAGUGGGGAAUAUUGGACAAUGGGGGGAACCCUGAUCCAGCCAUGCCGCGUGUGUGAAGAAGGCCCUCGGGUUGUAAGCACUUUCAGUGAGGAAGAACGCCUGGUGGUUAAUACCCAUCAGGAAAGACAUCACUCACAGAAGAAGCACCGGCUAACUCCGUGCCAGCAGCCGCGGUAAUACGGAGGGUGCGAGCGUUAAUCGGAAUUACUGGGCGUAAAGCGCGCGUAGGUGGCUUGAUAAGCCGGUUGUGAAAGCCCCGGGCUCAACCUGGGAACGGCAUCCGGAACUGUCAAGCUAGAGUGCAGGAGAGGAAGGUAGAAUUCCCGGUGUAGCGGUGAAAUGCGUAGAGAUCGGGAGGAAUACCAGUGGCGAAGGCGGCCUUCUGGACUGACACUGACACUGAGGUGCGAAAGCGUGGGUAGCAAACAGGAUUAGAUACCCGUGUAGUC
rnacentral:rRNA from 1 species